UGGGCUUCUACUAGCUGCUUUUUGAACAAGUCAAGAAACUCCAUGGCGAACUUCGAGUAUUCAGCUCGGUGCUUGCUCUGACCAACUUGGGCACCUCUGAAUGUUACCUUGAUGUGGCUGCAGCACCGAAUGACUGAACCAGCACGGUAUACAAGGCAGGCGGAUGAUCGGCUCGACAGUCGGAAGAGAUCGAUGUAACCAUUCUGCCAGGUGCCAACAAGUUUGAUAGCCGGAUCAUUUAAAUAGAAAGAUGGCCAGCUGUGCUACGAGAUGCACAUGGGUGAUGAUGCUGGGAUUGUUACUGCUCGCUGCAGACAACUUCUGCUCAGUUCAUGGUGAGCAAACCGCUCCUCCUGAAAAAGUGUGCAGAUGGCGAAACGAAGGGUUAACAUUGAGGUUUUACAGUCCAUCGUUAUGAGGUUUGAGGCGAUGAUGUGGAGGUAUAGUGUGAGUUAGCGCACUGAGCUUGUAGUUUAACAAUGGCACUUCCACUCUUUGUAGCACUCAGAAAGCGUCAGUACCACAUUCACAAGCUUUAUACAGACGACAGUUUGCCGAGUAGCCUCGUGGUAACGGUAAGUCAUCUGCAAACACUUUGAUGAAAAUCAAUUACGGAUACUGCUUAGUUCCAAGUAGUCGACUCACGUAUCCUCAAAAUGUUGUGCUCGUAGACUUGGCGAGUAAAGUCUUGAUUGGGUAUUCGACACUCACUUGGUUUACUUUUCAAAACAUAUCGUGUGGUAGGGUGACAUGGUCAGCGAGUCACGAAUUUACAUCGAAAUCUACUUCAGCGGGAGAACACCAGAUAUUGUUGUUCCUCCACCGUUCAUUCCAGCGGCUGAACCACCUGCACCCCCAUCUCCAUCCUAAUUUUUUUUCUUCGAGUUCAGAAAUUUACAACGAAGGAACAAAUUUGGGUAAGAAAUGCAGUUUGUUGUAGACAUCUCAUAAACACACGCGUCCCAAGAUUUAGUUUCUUCGGUCCAACAAUAAAUUCGUUCCCAACCCCCAGCUCUUGGUGAUUCGUUUUCUCCAGAUCCAAUGAAUCGGUUUCAUGUUCACUACCACUAUUUUUGAAUGGUUUUGGAUGUUCAAUAAAUUUUCUCCAUUGCAUAGAAGUCACUGAUCUUUCAAUAUGUCUCUAGAAAGAAUUAGUAGCAUAAUUGCCUCUAUGUUGUUCCACCCUGUUUUUGCUUCCUAUGUAUUUAUUAAAAUUAAGUUGCAUGCAGACCGGCUCAAAAUUAUAGUUGAUGCAAAAUCCUUUGUUACAUAGGUUCCAUCCUCAAUUCAUUUACUUCGGCAAUUACAUUUAAUUAGUAUUGAAGUUGUGCAUUUGAUACAAGAUAGCACAAUUCAAGGACGUCUGGAUUGCAGUCAUUGAGACUUCACUAAUUUGCAGCAAAGUUUCACUAAGCUCUAAAUUGCCAAACUGCAGACUAAUAUACAUCCAAAGUGCCAAAGUUUGGAUCAAAAUUUUGGCCCAUUUAACAAUCUUUUAAUCACCACCACUUAAUAUUGUUGUAGGGUGGGAAUUGAUACAGGUAUUUACAAGAGAGAUAUAAUGCAAGAAUUAAAAAAGUAUAUUGAAUAAUAGAAUGGACCUGGAUAUUUUUUUUUAAAAAUAUGAACAUUAUUUAAAAAUUGCUUUAUAUUUAUUAAAGUUAGAUUAAAUUAGAUUAGAUUAAAUUAAAUUUAUAUUUAUAGUAAAAAAAUGUGGUUAAUGAUAUUUUUUUUCAAGAAUCCGAAGGCUAAAAAAUAGCUAUGAAAUAAAUUAAGAAAUAAGUCAAUUAUUUUCUCAUCUAUUAUUUAUAAAAAGUUAUAAGAUUUAUUUUUUACUACAUUAAAAUUAAAAAAAUAUCAUUAAGAAUCAAUUUUUAACUAAAUUAUUUUAAGAAUUCAAUGAUUUAAGACUAAAAAAUUAAAAAUUAAAAAAAAACAUAAAUAAAAUCUAAAAAUAAGAGAAACUAAUAUACAUUAUAAAAAAUUUAUUAUAAUUAAUUAUUUUAAUUUUUUAAAAAUAAAUAAACAUAAUAAUAUAACUAAAAAUAAUACUUGUUAAUUUUAUUAAAGCAUAGUUUUAUUGAUAAGAAUUUAAUCAUUUUUACAUUUGUAAUUAAGGUAGAGUUAUUAGAACAUUAAAGUUUUUUUUUUUUAAAUAUGAAUAUUUUUAUUUUUUAUUUUUUAAUAAUAGUCAUUAUUAGAUGCAAUAGUUUAUUUAGAAGUAGACUUCAACCAAUAGAGUCAACAUAGCAAAACAAAUUCAGAUUAGUAGGAUCCAGAUCUAGAUCCAAAUUAUUUGGUAUAAACUUGACUUUGAUGUUGUUUUUCUCUUUUUUCAUUGUUUCGGUAUUAAUAAAAGUAAUGUUGUUAUUUUAAAUGUAUUCAAUGAAAAAUUCUUUACCAGCAAAAUUUUGUUUCAACCUAAUCAUUUGGAUAAAAUUUAAUUCUAAUAAGUUAUGUUGUAAGUUGGUGUUGGUUAAAGAUAAAAAAUCAUAUGGAAACUUUUUGAAGUUGACUAUUGGAUUUGAUUAAAUCUUUGAUAGGAUUUUGUUAACUUUGAAUUGUUAGACUUUGGACCAAAAAAUGCUUUCAAUACCAAAGUCCACACUUGAUGCUUUCCAAAAAUACGUCUAGAAUUUGGAUCAAGAGAUGUAAGUUUUACUUGUCUAGCUCUCUCUAAAUCUUGUAUCUUCCAACUUUGAUAAUUUAUUUGGAUAGAAUAUAUUUUCAACCAAUAUAGCAUUUGAUUUUAAUAAUUAUAUUAGUUUUAAAAAAUAUUAUUUGAAUUCUUAUCAAAACUAUAUAAUAUUAGCUAAUAUAAUUUUAUUUUUAAUAAAAAUAUAGAUAAUUAUAGACACUCUUUUUAUAUUUAAAAGAAUUUCAAAGUCUUAUACAUUUUAAGAAGAUAAAUUGGAUAUGAUAUUUUUUUUUUAUCAAUAAUAAAACUAAUAAAAUAUAAAUAACAAUUAGAUGAUCUAUAAAAAUUUUAAUAUUAAAGAAAACAUGCAUAUUUUUUAUUUUAUGAUUUUUAAGAAUUAGGCCCUUUAAAAUUUAAUAAGUAUUUAAAACUAUAUUUUUAAAUUAUUAAUAAAAAUAAAUUUAUUCUUUAUUUUAAAAAAUCGACAUAUUUUUUUAUUAAAAUUUAAUAGAUUUAUUUUAUUUUAUUAAAUAUUAAUAUUUUAGAAAGAAUUAUUAUUUAAAAUAUUUUUUUAAAUUUUUACUAUAUAAAUAUGAUUCUAUUUAUAAUAAAAAUUUAAUUAAAUCUUGUAUAAAUAAUAAGGUUUAUUCUUAAGUUUAUCAAUACAAUGGUUAGAUAGAAGUAAUAUAUUAGAACUUGCAUUCUUAUGGUGCAAUGUUUAAGAAUGUUUAAGGAAUAAAAUUCUAAUUUGAAAAAAAAAAAAAAAAAAAAAAAUAUAAUCUUUUCUAAUUCAAUAUGUUAAUGAAUUUUUUUAUAACAUUGUAAGUUAGAAUAUAUGAGAAUUCCACCAAUGCAUCUUAAUUAGAGGAUUGAUUAAAAAUAUAAAUUUAAGUCAUUUAAUUAUAUAAAUAUUAAGAUUAGAAAGUCUUUUUGAUUAUUUAAAUAUUUAUUAGAAUUUAGAAGUAUUUAUAAAUUAUAAAAGUCUUAUUAGAAGAAAAGUUAUAAAAAUAGAAUCUCAAUAAGUCCUAGAGAAAAUUAUCUUAGUUGAUUUAGUAUUUUUACUAAUUGUUAAGUAUUAAGAAUUAGUUAUUAAGACCAAUGUCUUCAUUGGCGUCCUAUGUAUAUGUAUUACUUAUAAAAAUCCUAUCAAUGAUUAAUUAGUAGUUAGAAGAAGCAUAAAAACGAACUUCAUGUCUUUUUAGUUCAUUAUAUAGAAAAUAAGAUUUUUAGUAGAUUUAAAUUGAUUUUAUCACUAUAAAAAAUUAAAAAGGUAGAAAAAUAUAAUUUCAAAUAGAUAUUAAUAUUAUAAAAAUAUUAUAUUAUUUUUUAGGAUUUAUUUAGAAUCUAUUUAGAAUAUUUUAAGAAUUUUUAGAGAAGGUUUCAAGACAUUGGUAAAAUUGAGUUUUACCACCUUGAGAGCCAUUAUAAAAAAAUGGAACAAGAUUUGAAGGCCAUGUAAGGUUUUUAGGCUAUUUUUAUAUUUUUAAUUAUUAUGGUGAAGUUAAAAAUGAAAAUUAUGAGUUUUACUAGUAGGUCAUAGGAGGACCACCAACUAGUCUAGUUCUUGUAGAAUGGAAGGUGCACAAGUUCCAUAUGGGUUGUAGCAUCUUGAAUAGAAUUAGAAAGAUAAGACUAAGACUUUGUGGCUUCUCUUAAUACCCCAUAUAUACUACUUGAAGAGGCUCAAAUCUUUGAUCUAUAAGUAAGUUUUCCUUGAAAUAAAAUAUUUUUACUUAAUUUUUUAAAUAUUCAAUUCUUAUCUUAAAAUUUCAUAACUUAUUUAUAGUAACUCGGAUUUACAUAUUUCAUAUGUCAUUAGAAAUAUAAUAAAAUUAUACAUCUAAAAAUAUAUUUUUAAUAUUUAUUUUUAUUUCAUUCUAAAUAAAAACUCAAUGAACAAACUAUAGACUAUUUUUAUUAUGUACAAUUGUAUGAUUGCAAUUAUUUUACUUAUUUUGUAUUAUUUUUUUCUUUUAUUUUUUUUAUUGCAUCUUUCACUCUAUACCACCAAUUAAAAAUAACUUUUAAUUGAGGUCAUCUUGUAAUUUAGAUUAAGAAAAAAAAUUAUCCUCACAAUAUAUUAUAAAGAUGUUUUUUUUGUGGACAUCAAUUAUAUUCAAUCUCCAAAUCAACUUAGUACUUUUUAACAUUAACUAAUUUAUAGUUGUCAAUCAAUCUAUAAUACAGAUCUAAUUUACUUUAAGGUAAUUUGUAGUUAGUUGGACAAUGUUGAGGUGCAUUUGAAAAAAUGUGUUAUACUUAGGUAGUGGCUAUAUAGAAAAGAAAGCCUUAUGCCAUUAAAGCACACAACAACUACAAAAGAGCAAAUGAAAUGCAAUAUAGAGCAUGCAUCUAAGCAACUCAAAUUUAAAUUAUAAUAUAUCUAAAUAUAAAAAUAUGAUGUUGAUUGCAUAUGGAUUAUGUCAUUACAAAUUAUUUUAUUGCUACUUCCAAUACUAUUGAUCAUGUUGAUGCAGUACUUAGUUUUAAAAUAUAAAUUAAUACAUCUUAAAAUCCCAACACUUUCUUAGGUCUUUAGAUAUUUAUAAUAUUUUGAGAAUUAUUGAUUGACUUUGUUUUCUUAUUCAAAAUACAUGUAUCUAUCAAUUUGAAAUAAUUUCUUUCUAUCUACUACUAAAACAACAUUAUUUUCAAUUUGAUAGCUUAAUUCAAGUUGAAAGAAUACCAAAAUUGAUCAAUGUAAUUAUCAAUUAAAAACCAAAUCUAUGGUUGACAACAAGUUGGAGGCUUUUGAGGGCUUUAUAAGUUCUAAAUAUUCAUGUUUAUUGAAGAUUAUGACAUUCAACUUAUAAUUCCAAUUCAUAUUUAUCAAUAUAAAAUAAAUUUUAUGUUUUCUAUAAGCAUACAUUAUAAUACAAUAAACUCAUCUUUAUUUAUUCACCUUCAUGGUAUAUUAGUUCAUAUCAAAUUUUUAGUGACUUUGGAGUCUAAUAAAAAAAACAUAUAUAUUUAUACAUAUUUUAAUUGUAUCUACAACAAACUUCAAACAAGAACACAAUAAAUAUCAACUAAUAAAUAGAUAGACAAAAUCCUAGGUAGAGUAAAUAAAUAGAUAAACUAUUAUUGGAUGUAGAAUGUAAUUGGAUGUUUCAUCUAAUAUUUCUGCUCAUCCAAAUAUAUUCUAUAAAAAAUACUAAAUCUUAUUAUCCUCCUAUUUAUUCUUAUGGAAUGAUCGGAGGCCUAUUAAAUGACAUAGACUUUGAAAAGUAUUUUGUAGUAGUAGAUUUGUAAGGAUAUAAAAAAUUUGAUUAUUAAUAUGAAUAUAUUGGAAGUCUGUUGAAUUAUUUUUAUGAUAUUUACAAAUCAUAAAUUAUUUCAUGUUAAUAUGUUUUGAUUGACAAUGAUAUUUGGGAUUCUUGAUUCAAGCAAUAGUAGCUUGAUUGUUGUAACACAUAUUAGUAAGAAAUACAUCAAUAGAAUGUAAAAGUUAGCAUCUUAAAUGUAAUAAAGGCUUUGAUUUAUACUACAAUGAUCAAAUUGUAUUGGCAUGGUAUAUGCCAAUACAAUAUAUGCUUUAUAAUUUUUCAAUGACUUUGUUGAGGAUGUUCUUAAAAAAUUAAAAUCUUAUUGACAAAAUAAUUAAUAUCAAGUCUAAUAAUAAUUAUUGCAUACAUAAGACAACCAAUACUUUGGCAACGAGAAACAUCAAUCUUGAAGUCAUUAAGAUAAAUAUUUUUUUAUAGCUUUGCAUGUGUAUUUACAAGCAUUGAAACUUUAUGAUGAUUUUGAAGUCUAAAUCAAAUAAAAAUAUCUGUAAUAUAUCUUUAUUAAUAAAGAAAAAUAAAGCUUGUAGAAGAACAUUAUGCAACUUGAAAACUAACAAAAUAAUUCUUGUUGCUAUUAGUGACUUUAAAAGUAGUUUUUAAAUAUUAUAAAAUAUCUUCAAUAUAAGUUGGAAUAAAAGAUACAAUAAUUCUAUUAUCAACAUAUACACCAAGAAUUUUAUGAAGGUCAAUAUGAUUGCAAUAUACACAAGAAUCAGCUUUAUUAAUAAUAAGACUAAUUUACUUAAGAAAAAUAGAAUUACAUAGGUUCCAUUGCUAGAUAGAUUAAUGAAGUUUAUAGAUGAAGACAAUAUCAAUAUUAAAUUCUUGAAUAUGCAUGUAUUUUUCUACAAAAAUAAAAAAUAUAAUGUAAAUAGAAUCAUAUUAAAUAAUUGGAUAAUACAUAUUAGUAAAAUUAAUACUAGGAUUUUAAAUAAAUCACUUGGAAAUUAAUUAAGCCUUAAAUUUUUCAAUAUUACCAUUAAAUUUAAAUUACAAUUCAAUUAGGAAACAUAUAAACAUCUCUAAUAAUGUCCUUCUAAAGCUUGACAUCAAUCAAAUAAUUAAUUUAAAUAUAUCUACGACCUUAAAUUCAAAAUUUAGUAUUGUCAGCCAUUUUAAUAAUAUGAAUACCUUUGAAAAUAUGAACAAUCUUUGAAAAUCAAUCAUAUCGGUCUGUCAUAUGUUUACUUGUGCUAUUAUUUGCAAACCAUGUGUCUAUAGAAGAAUUAAUAAUUAAAGAAUGGCUGAAAAUAAUAGAUGUGAUUACAAAUAUAAUAUCAUUUUUAAAACCUGAUUUGGAUUCUUCAUCAAAGGUGCUUAAUAAGAGUAAGUUCUUUGCCAAAUUUGCCUCAUUAAGUCCACCAUCAAUCUUUCUUGGAUCCUUUUCAUAUAUUUGUUUCAUCUUUGGCUUAAGACAUUUAACAGACCAAUGGCUAAGCUUGUGACAAUUAUAACACUUCAUGUAGGCUUUCAAAUCUUGAAUAUAAGUAAUAUACUUUUGAUAUUACUCCUUCUUAUUAAAAAGAUAUGAUAGUAAAACAGAUGAAUAAGUAAAGAAAACGUAAUUAGUCUCUGUAUUAUCAUUGUCUUAAUGCCAAAGUAAGCUCUCAUGCCAAAGAAGAUAUUUUUUAAAAUUAUCAAUAAUUUGAAAAAAUAUCCAAAAUAUUUGACCUAAUGGCAAUGAUUUUUUAAUUUGGCAAUAAAUUAUAAAUAAUUUUAAAGAUAAUUAUCUUAUUUAAUAUUUUAUAACCAAUAUCAAUAAGAAUGAUUAUUAUCUUAGUAAUAUUUUUAAUGUGAGAUAAAAUAUCAUCAAUGAUUUACAUUUAAUAUUCAAAGAAGUGUUUUUGGAGAGUGAAAAUACUCUCAUAAGUUUUUUUCAAAUGAAAAAGAUAUAAUUUUUGCCACAUUAUAUCAGCUAUUAAAUAACUAAUAAGUUUUUCAAGUAUAUUUUGAAAAAUAAAUUUGCUAAUAAACAUCUUGGUGUUAGCAUUUUUUUCAUCAUAAAUAUCAAGGACCAAAUGUAUUAGAUCAAAAAUAGGUCAUCUCUCAAGACCAUGAAUAACUUACAAGACCUUCUUAGCUUUAAAAAUCAUUUCCAUGUGAUAUUUUUAGAUAGAAAAUUAAGUGCCAUCAAACAUUUAAAUUGGAAUAUUAUUAUAUUAUCUAUGAUAAAGAAGAAUUUUUUAAGUAAAAAAAAUUGAAAAAAAUAGAAUAUGAACUACAAGAAAAAAUGAUGAUUAAAAUCAUAUCUAAAAAGUAAAAGAAAUAGUUCAAAAUACAUCUUGCCUUUCCUUGAAAAAAUCAUUCUUUCACUUGAUAUAUGAAAGUAUGGAAGUAAUAGUGGGAGCAGACUCCUUCUUGGCAUUAUUAGUAGAUGCUUCAAUCACAUCUUCAAUAGCCUUCUCUAUGGAUAUUGACAAAAUUAUAAUAAUAUAGAUAAAAGAUCAAUUUCAAGCUUCCAUUACAUGAUCUAUGUAAAAGCACAAGGCAUAGCUAUAGAAGUAACAAAAAAAAAAGGCCAUAGAACUUGUAAGCACCAUUACAACCAUGAUUUAUAGACAAUCAAAAGUCAUUCACCUACUCAACAAUGUUUAAAUCCUCAAGUUGCUUCAAAUAAUGUUUGGUAAUGAAGCUAUUAAUCUUGUGGCCAUUGUAAAUCUAUGCACAAUUACAAGUAGUGGAAUUUAAAAAUUCAAGUAUUCAAAAAAGAAUAAAUGCAGUACAACGUACUUGUGAAAAAUAAUCCAUAAUCUAAAAAACAUUCAUACUUUCUAUGAGCAUAUACUAUAAUGCAAUAAAUUCAUCUUUAUUUAUUUACAUUCAAAAUAAAUCAGUUCAUAUCAAUUUUUUAGUGACUUCAAAGCUCAACACAUUAUAUAUAUAUAUAUAUAUAUAUAUAUAUAUAUAUAUAUAUAUAUAUAUUAUAUUUAGAUAGUUUUAAAUUGUAUUUACAACAAACUCCAAAUAAUAACACAAUAAAUAUCAACUAAUAGAUAAAUAGACAAAAGCUUAGAUAGAAUGAAUAGAUAGAUAAACUAUCUUUGAAUAUAGAUUGUCAUUGGAUAUAGAAUGUAUUUGGAUUUUUUAUCCAAUAAAUAUAUAUGCUAUUUAAUACCAUAUCUCAAAAAUAUAUCAACUUAUAAUGUGUUGAUUCAUUAUGUAUUAUUGCUAAUAUUAAAACAAUCAUUAUCAAUUUUUUAAAAAUUAGAGCUUUUCUUAAAAUAACUAAUUUAGUUUAUUUUAGAAUUAUGGCUAGAGUUUAUUUUAAAUGAAUUAGGAAUGGAUAAAGUUUAUCUAUAGAAUUGUUUAAAAACAUCCAUUCUCAUCAUAUUUGAUAAACUCUCUUGAAUUAUUUAGAAUGUAAGAUAUUCUUGAGCCAAAAAUUUGUGAGACUCUAUUGAUACUUGUCCUUCUCCCACUCAAUCACGUAGAAGUUGGAUUCGAUGGUACAUAUAUUAAAGUAAUGGAAGUUAGCUUGCUACAAAAAUUUUGAAGUUGUAGAAAUUGACUACUACAAUGAAUCCAUCUGGCAUGAAAUUUUGUUUGCAAACUAAAGCACUUGAAUGACAUUCUUAAAGGUCAUCUUCUUAUUGUAGGUGUGCAUUAUGGCUUUGUAGUCAUCCUCUAUAUCCUCAAUCAAUUAAGCAUUAUAUCUAAUUGAUUUCAACCAUAGUCUAUGCCAAUAGAUGGAAAUGCACAAUUAAGACACCCAUAGUAUGUAUAAAUUGUAGAAAAGCAUUUUUGGAAUGUCUUCAUUGUUGGUAUUGUUGUUGCAAUUGAAUUAGAUAAUAAUAGAUAUAAUAUCAUUAAUAAGUCUAAUAAAUAAGACUGCUACAUUACAAACUAUAAUCUCAACCUUAGUUGUAGAUAGUGAAGCUAUUAAGCUCAUCACAAAAGUACCUUAAUCUUGAAUGAAAGCCUUCCUACUUAUGAGAGCUAUACAUUAAGACUUGUUGAUGACCAAAUUUGAAGCGCCAUAAGCCAUGGUUAAAGUUUCACAUUAUACAGAUCUUGUAUUUUUUACAAAUCCACUAAAGAUUAAAUUAAGCCUUUGAGCUAGGCUUUCUAUUGAUUCAGAAGGAUGUUUAGUCCUUGCAAGCAUGUCAAGACAAUAGAGGUUAUUUUCAAAAUAUUUUUAAAUAUAAGUCAUACCACCUAUCCGAAAAAAGUAAGAAUACAUACAAAUAGUUUUUACACAAGGUAUUUAGAAAUUAUCAUGCAUCUUUGUUAUAAAAAUCCACUCAAUUUUUUCAUAGAUGACUAUUGCGUAUCCAUGAAUUUUGAGCAUGUACAAUCUAUCUUCUCAAUGUCAUUGUAUUAUCAAAAAAGAUAAAAGAUAAGGCUUGUUAAGAUGUUGACAAACUAAUCAACAUAUAACUUGAUGUACUUGGCUUGGAUUACAAGGUCAAGUGAUUGCAAAGCACACCACAUCCACACAAUUCUAUCACAUGUCAUCUUUAUCAACCUCAUUGCAAUGCUAAAAAUUUAUCAAGUCAUCUUUUGCUUAUCAUCCAUACUAAUCGUAAGUAAUUAUUUCGUCUAUUUUGGAACAAUGAUAUUCAAAAGUUUUAAAUCCAUAUCUAAGAUUACUUUGGUUGUUUUGCAAUCAAAAAGUAGAAUAGCAAAAAGGUGAAGAUUGUGCAACUUUAAUUGAUAUUUGAAUUGGAUUUAAAAGCCAAGGUAAGAUAUGUCUUACUUUAAGAUGAUGUCAAGAGGGAGAAAAAAUGUUCAUUGCAUGUGGAUGAGCUCAGUGAUUUUUUAUAAGUUCAUAGCAUAAACCACCUUUAUAAAUAAAGCUCCAUGUUUGUCACUACAUCUAUUGAAUUAAUCCAUAUAUAACAUAGUCUUUGUGACAUCUACAAAAUGUGCUAAAAUUUGAAAUAAGGUUCUAUAGGAGAUGAUAUCUAUCAUAAGAUAAAAUAAUUGUAAAGAAUUAAUUUCCACCUUAUAUGCUUCAUGGUUGAAAUCUUGCUCUCUACUAAGCUCAACUUGGACAUUAUUUGUAUCUUCAAACAACUUCAAAAUUGAUAAAGUUCAUUCCUAAGUUGACACAAUUUUUUUUAUCCACAUUAAACAACAUCUUAUUAAUAACCAUGUCAUUAAUGUUUCAAUUUAUUAUAAAUGUAAAUAACUUUUUGAUCUUGAAAUGAGCUGCAAGGAUAUUUUUGAAAUUCACCAAGUCAAAGAAUUAGUUCUUUGAGGCAUUUGAGAGGGUAUUGUACUUUGUCCAUGCUUUGAUGUGUUGCAACUUCAUAUGUGCCAUGAUAUUGUCUACUGAGAAAAAAAUUAAAAAUGUUUUUAUAUAUAUCAUUUGCUUUUACUUAUAUCUUAUAAAAUCAGCUUCUUUGCAAUUAAGCUUCUUACAAAAUAAGUACCACAUUGAUAGAACUUGGUCAAUGUUCUGAUCUUAUAAGUUUGAUGUGAGGUUUAACUUCGUUUCCAUAAAGGAUUUCUAAAGGAUUUGCAGCUUUUUUAUUAUAGUGAAUUUGAUGUCCAUAUCUUAAUAUGAUUAUUGCGAUUGUAGAUUGAUAUUCUUUUACACUAAUUGUAUCAUACAGUGCCUCUUUUAAUUAUAUAAAAGAAUAUCAUUAGAUUCUUAUUUUAGAAUAUUUUUCUUAUUCUAAGGAAAUAAAGUUAUUUUAAAAAAAAAUCCUAAAUUAAAAAGGCUUAAUCAUUUUUCAAUAUAACAUGCUUGAGAUAUUACAUGCUUGGCAAUUUGGUACUCCAAUCUAGUCAAAAAAACUUGAUUAGCUUAUUAAGUCCUUUUGACUUUUGUUAUAUCUAUUUUUUCUAGAUUAAAAAUCUUGUUUGCUAAUCUCAAGUAUUCUGCUCUCUCAUUUGCUUUAAUCAACUUCAACACCUAUGAAUACUAUAUAUAUAUUGCUCCAACAACUAAUCACUGAGUCUAAUAUUGCAUAUAAGGUAGGCACUUAAUUUGCUUGACAAUUGAAGGAGAUUGAUGCAACCAUUUUUUUAGAUUGCAAACAAAUUUGAUAGACAGAUAAAUUAGAAAGAAAAAUGACUAGUUUUGCUACAAGAUACAUAUGGGUGAUGAUAUUGAGAUUGUAAUUGGUCACUAUAAAAAACUUUGAUUAAAUUCAUAAUGAAUAAACCACUCCGACUAAAUAAGUGUACAAAAGAAAAAACUAAGCAUUUAUGUCAAGAUUUUAUAAUCUAUUGUUAUGAAGUUUUAGGCAAUAAUAUUGAAUUAUAGUAUAAGUUUGUGUGUUUUUAAUUAGUUUUGAGCUUGUAGUUUAACCAAGGCACUUCUACUCUUUGCAAGACUAAGAACAUGUCAAUAUCACAUUCACAAGCUUAAUAUACAUGACACAUUGUCGAGUAGCCUUUUGAUAAUGGUGAUAUAUUUAUAAAUAUUUUAAUAAAAUUUAAUAUUAGACACUACUUAAUUUUACAUAAUCGAUUCACAUAUCCUCCAAAUGACAUGUUCAUAAACUAGACAAGUAUAUGCUUGAUGGAAUCUUGGAUACUUGCUAUUAAAAAUAGUCACAAAAAAUAAUCAAAAUAUAAUGAGCAAAGUGAUUGAAAUAUCACACCUUAUGAAAGAGGUGUGAUCUAAUUAGCCAGAUUUUUUCAAUAGAAUAAAACCAUAUUUAUAUAUUUUAUAAAUUAAUUAGAAAAAAACUACAUUUCUAUCUAAAGUUUUCUAUUUAUUUAUUUCUAAUAUAAUAUCAAAGUAAAGUUUUGAAAAAAUUUUAUGAUAAAAAUUUAAAAAAACUUAGUAAAAAUCAAAGACAAAAAGAGGCUUUGUAAAAGAUGUUCUUUACACAAAGUUGGAAUACCAAUAUGUGAGUGUAAAUUUCACUCUUCACCCCAAUUACAAGAUGGCUUCAAUUAAGAGUUGCUUGUAAUUGGUGGUAUGAAGUGAAGUAAGCAAUUGGCAAAAGACCAAGGAAGAACAACCACAAUACAAGUAAAAGAGAUGAAAUCAAGUAAUCACAACAUCCAAAACGAAGUCACAGUCCGUUCACUAGAUUUUUAUCCAGUAAAAAGUAAAAGUAAAAAUAAAAAUAUUUUUAGAUAGAUAAUUUUUUUAUCUUUCCAAUGACAUAAAAAUCAUAUAAUUCCAAGUUACUAUGAAUAAGUUAUGAUAGAUUAAAGAUAGAAUAUAAAUAAUAGAAAAGUUUAGUGAAUAAUUUUUACCUCAAGGAUAACUUGUUUAAGAAAUCAGGAGUUCGAGCCUCACCAAGGCUCACAAGUAGUGUAUAUCCCCCCCCCUCAAGAGGCCUUGAGGCCUUAGUCUUAUCUUCCUACCUAUACCCAAGGUGCUACAACCCGUAUGGGAAUUGUGCACCUCUCUUCCUACAAGGACUACACUAGUUACUGGUCCUCUUAUUUUCUACUAGUAAAACUACUUUUUUUGCAUUUUUGACUACACCAUGGUAUUCAAAAAUACCCAAUUAGCCCGGAAACCUUGCAUAGUCUUCAAAUCUUGCUUCAUUUCUUCAUAAUGGCUCUCAAGGUGAUAAAACUCAAUUUUACCAAAGUCUUGAAAUUUUCUCUAAAAAUUCAUAAAAAAUUCUAAAUAAAUUAUAAAUAAAAUUUAAAAAACCCUAUAAUAUUUCUAUAAUAAAAAAUCCAUAUGAGGCUAUAUUUUUCUAACUUGGUGAUUUUUUAUAGUAAUAAAAUCAAUUUAAAUCUACUAAAAAUUCUAUUUUUUAUAUAAUUAACUAAAAAGACAUGAAGCUCUUUUUCAUGCUUCUUCUAACUACUAACUAAUCAUUGAUAGGAUUUUAUAAGUAAUACAUGUAGAUAAGAGCCAAUGAAGAUAUUGGUUUCAAUAACUAAUUCUUAAUACUUAACAAUAAGAAAAAUACUAAACUAACUAAGAUAAUUACCUCCAAGACUUACUAAGAUUCCAUUUUUAUAACUUUUCUUCUAAUAAAACUUUUGUAACUUAUAAAUACUUCUAAAUUAUAAUAAAUAAUUAAAUAAUCAAAAAAAAAACUAUCUAUUCUUAACAUUUGUAUAAUUGAAUGAUUUAAAACUAUGUUUUUAACUAAUCCACUAAUUAAGAUCAAUUUUUGGGACUCACACAAUAGAUCUUUCUUUUGUCUUCAAAGAAACAUGGCUUCAAGCAGCCUUGCUACAAAAAUAAAGCCUAAGUUUAAUGGCUUAUGGUAUUCCAUCCGGAAGAAAAAGAUUUAGAUGAAGUUUGAAAUAAAAAACUUGUGGGAUAUAGUUUCAAGAAAAAAAACACAAAAAAAACCAAUUCAAGAUGUGAAUGCAAUAUCAAUUUCACCACCAACCAAUCAAAUUGAAUUCCUUACUUGAAAAAAGAAGGAUCAUGUUGCUUUACCAAUAAAUCGAGAUUGUAUAUUUUUUUAUUUUUUUAUUUUUUAUUUUUUAUAUCUCAGAGCAUUUAACAUAGCUAAUGAAGCAUGGUUGGCCCUUAAAAUAUAUAUUCUACUAGUGACAUAGUUACUCAAGUCCACUUACGAGAAAAAUUCAUCAUACAAAAGAUAAAAUCCAAAGAAUCAAUAACUCAACAUAUACACAAUUUUAGAAAUCUACUUCAAUAAUUCAAUUAUGUAGAAAUUAUCAUCUUUUUACAAAUAGAACUCCUCACUCUCAUGAGGUUUAUGCCAUCCCAAUAUAACAUUGUGAUCCAAAUACUUUACACAAUAUGGAUUACAACUUUUCUUUAAUUUAUUUUAAUUCUUUUAUAAGAAGACAUAACCAUGAAAGACUCUUCUUUUGAUUUAUAUGCUCUCUUUGUAGGAUGUAAAAGAAAGAUUAAAUGGCAACUUCACAAAUCCACUUCAAAAAACCAUAAACUUUCAAAACCUCAAAACAAAUCUAUAAUUCCUUGUGCACAUUGCAAAAAAAUUGAGCAUUGGAAUUUUGAGUGUUUCAAAAACAAAACAAGAAUUGUUGCAAAUUUAACAGUAAUAAAUCAUAACAACAACAAAAAAAAAAGAAUAUGGAAGUAAAAACAAAUAGAAGAAUUACUUCUCACUUUCUAUACCAUUUUUUAUAUCACACAAGCUUUUUUCUUAGAAAAAUUACCUAAGCCUAGAACUUCUAAAGACAUAUAAUUACUAAUUAAUACUACUGUUAUCCACUGCUUGGUACAUGAUAAACAACUGAUCAUCAACUUCAAACUAUUUCUACAAGGUGACCAUAAGAUCUACCUUGAUAAUGAUACAAUCUUAUCCAUCUAUGACAAAAGAAAAGUAGAAAUUUCAAUGAUAAAUAAAAAGAUACUUUGUUUCUUUAAUAUCUUGUAUAUACCAAUUUUACAAAAAAAUCAUUGUGGCAUUGAAGACUUAGUUAUCCUACCAAUAUUUGCCUCAAGCAAUUAUUAAACAACUCCCAUGUCAUUAGAAUUUAUCUCAAAAUAAUUUCCAACUAAGUAUAUUUUAUAUACAUCUAUACCAAAUAUGUGGCUAUAACAUUUCUUAAACAAGCCACUACACAAGUCAUUCAACCUCUCAAAUUAAUCUACUCUAAGUUAAGUGGCUAUAUAGCUUUUGUCACAUUUUUUGGUUAUGAAUAUUAUAUUAUAUUUAUAGAAAAUUUCUCUAAAUAUACCAUUAUUAGACUCCUACAAUACAAAAGUAAAUAUCUACAUAUAUUCAAAAUCUUCUAUAACUGGUUUGAAAAUCAAACUAGCUACAAAAUUAAAAAAAAAAAAUAUAUUAUUAAAGAAGAAAGUACUUAUCUUCAAAUUUACUCAAUAUUUGAAAACAUAUAGAAUUCAAUGCCAACUCAUGAGAGCUUAUAUCUCACAUCAAAAUGAUAUGGCUAAAUAAAAGAAUUAUACUUUUUUUGACAUAACAAGAUACAUGCUCUAUGAAGCUCAACUUUUUAGAAUGUACUAGGAUCAAGUAGUCACCAUGGUUUUCAUAUUCCAUUUCUUGAGAAUAUUUUGAAUAAUUUGAAUUGACAUAAGAUUAUUGAUAAUAUUUUUAAGAUUUUUAGCAACCUCAAUAGCAUUUUCAGCCUUCCUAGUGUUGAUUUGGUAAAUGAUUGCUCUUUCAUCUACUACAAUGAACUUCUUUGAUAUGCCUAAUUUAAGAUUUUCUUUAUUAAAAGUGAUAUUUUUUACUAGCUUAGAAAUAGUAGCUUUAAUAUAGCCAAGUUUAGAAGUAAUUUGGCUAUAAGAUUUUUGAGAAUAUAAAAAACAAAGGUGAUAUUGUAUUGGAGAUAGUAAGAAAUGGAUCUCAUAAUUGUUCAAGAAAUUUUCAAGGACAUAAGAAUUUGACAAAGAAAUUUUUAAAGAUUAAAGACAAAAAAUGAAAUUGAUAGCAAAAGUGGUUCCAAAGACUCUUAUUUACAUUAUAAUAAAAUUUACAAAAAUGUAUGGUACUUUCUAUAGAAGUUUUUAGAAGUCUAAAGAAGCUUUUAAAAGUCUAUGGAAUUUUCUAAAAGAUUAUAAAAGAUUUUAUAAGUAUCUAAAAGGUUUUAGAAAUUUGUAGAAGAUUCUAGAAGGUCUUAGAAUGUGUCAAUUUGGAAUAUAUCUAUACCAAAAUUUGUGAUUUAGAAUGGUACUUUUAUAGCUACUAAUGAGCAUUAAUAAUUUUAUUAAAUUAGUAAUAAUAUUAUCUUAGUAAAUUUGAUGAUGAUAAAAUACUGUAAUAUUGAAUAAUUGAUAGAAUCCAAAAAUCAGAUAUCACAUUUAAAUUUUUUUUUCAAUACUAUUCCAAAUUAGAUUGGUCAUAGCUCCACAAUUAUUUAAUAGAUUCUUUUCAACCUUGGCUCAUUUGAUAGCCAUAAAGGAGGUCUUUAUUUGCUAUAUAAAUCACGUGUCAAUAUUCACUACACUUUAUCUAUAAUAUACCAUUCUUUCUAAAAUAUUUCAACAUUGAAAUAAUUUUUUGAGUCACUUUAUGUUAAGUCUAUACAACGUCCAUAAAGCUUCUAGGGAGCUUCUUUAAAAAAUAUUAUAAAAUAAAUUUAAUUUUAUUUACUUCUACUUAAUUAUAAAAGAAAAUAUUAAAAUAAAUAUGUAUAUUUGUGACAUUAUUCUUUUUUCUAAGAAUGAUUUCUAUAAAGAGUGAUCAUCAUAUAUUGAAGAAAUCUAAGAUGCGGCAAAUUAUAUUUGUUACAUACUCUAAUCUUUGUUUUCUUCAAAGAUAGUUGAUAGGUCUUUUUAACUAUUAAUAAUAUUUUAUAUUAUGAUAGAAAGAUUACUUUAUUAUUAUUUAAUUAUUAUUGAAUCUUUCAUAACUUCCUUCAAAUAAAACAUUUAAAAUAUCAUCAAAAGUCAUUUCUACCUCUAAUAUAAUCACCAAACAUUAGAAAUAUCUUCAAAGAUUAUAAUACCUAAUUCAUUAUAUCUUGCCAUCUAUUCAAUGAAGGAAAAGUCAUUCUUGAGGAUCUUCAUCUCAAUGACAUCUUCUUGAAAGUUGUGCCAAUCACAAUGUCUCAUCUAAUAAGUAAAUAAGUAAUAACUCUUGAAUUGAAUCUAUUGAUUAUUGGUAUUCUAUCUCUUCAGCAUCAUAAAUACACAAAAGUUACAAACAAGAAUAGAAAGUAGAAUGCUAUCUUUUUUAGAUCUUGUUUCUUUUAUAGAAAAGAUUUAUUAUUCUUUAUCUUAGUUUUGAUGGAUGUCAUUGAUAAAAAGUUUCAAUCUUCUUUGUUGCAUUGGCAAGAUUCUUUGCUUACUCCCAUGUGCAUUUACUACUAUCAUAUCCAUGCCAAUGAAUAAGAUAUUUUAGCACCACCUUGAAUCUAAAACUUCUACUUCAAACUCUUAAUUAUUAUCCACUACUAUAGGAGGAAGUGGCAUUUGUCUUCUUCCUAAGAUAUUUAUUGUCUUAUAUGACUAAAAAAAAACAUGUAAAAUAUGGAAUAGAUCUUCAUAGAUUUUGAUAGAUAUAAUUGAUAAUAAUAGGAUUGACUUGUUCUUAAGUAGAAAAAGAUCCAAGCCUAAAUAGCUCAACUCAUGAUAAGGAUAAGUAGUCUCAAUAUUGUAAUGGAGUAGCCAUAACUUAUAAGUUAUGAUGAAUUGUGGUUGUUCCUUACGAUAGGUAUUUGCAUUGAUUUUUAGCUAUUUUUGAGCUUCCUUUAAGUUCACCUUCAUUAUUGUAUGUAGCUUUGACAAAUGAUUUACCAAAUAUUUUGCCUUAAGAUUAUUAAUUUUAAAAAGUCAAAAAUAUCAAGUCAUGGAUGAUAAUCAUAUUUGACAAAGAAAGGUGUUUCUUGAGUAGAAAAAUAUAUUAAAUUGUUAUACAUAAACUUUACCAAUCGCAAAAAAAUUAUUCAAUCAUCUUAAUAAUAAUUGAUGGUACACUUCAAAUACUACUUCAAAAGUUGAUUCAUCCAUUUUAUUUGUCGAUCAAUUUAAGGAUGAAAAGUCAAAAAAAGUUUUAUAUCCAUCUAUAGAAUCUUAGAAAAGAUUCUUCAAAAUAUUGAUACAAAUUGAGUCCUUUUAUCCAAUAUAAUAUCUUUAGACAUUCCAUGAUAGUAAUAGAUGAUGUUAAGAAAAAUCUUAGACAUUUUUUUACCUAUAAUAGAUUUUAUACAUAGUACAAAAUGUACCAUCUUGAUAAAAUGAUCUACUAUCACAAAUAUAGAAUCAUACAAGCUUGAGACUAAAAGAUCUAUGAUAAAAUAUAUAGAAAUAAAAGACCUUGAUUGUUUUAGAAUAAGUUAUGGCUGGAAAAGUUCAUAAGAUUGAUGACAAGGGAUUUUUGAUCUUCAAAAAAUAUUACAUGAUUAUACAAAGUGUUUAAUGGCCUUUCAUACUUGAGGCUAUAAAAAAUCUUUUGAUAUUCAAAAUGUCCAAUUACUGGAAAGUCAUAAUAAACUUAAAGAACAUAUAACCAUGUUUUGUCUUCUAGAAUAUAUAAUCAUCCUUUGCAGUAGAGUAGAUUAUUCUUGAACUCAAACUUAGAAGUAUCAUGAGACUUAAAAUAAUUAUUCUUAAUAUCAUAAAGAAGAGGAUUAAAGGACAUACUUGAUUGAAUUUUCUUGAUAAAGGUUCAAUCAACAAUUAAUGUUGAUUUUAUUGGUCAAAGAUGAAAUGAUUUGGCUUCAAAAAAUUCAUUUUUUUUUUUUUUUUUUUUUUUUUUUUUAAUCAAAAGCUACAUUUCUUUCUUUUGAUAUAAGAUAAAAUAUCUAAAAAAGAAAUUUGACAAACCUUCUUAUUUUUUAAAUCAAGAAGUAUUUUUGAAAUCAAAUCUUGAUAAAAACAUGAUCCAACAAACUUGGUAAUAAUUCAAAAUAUGUAUUAACAUGAAGUACUUAAGGUUCUUGUAAUCUAUAUACAUGGUGACUAAACUAGAAGCUCUUUUUAGAUAAUGAUGUCAUUCUUAAAAUGAAUCUAUCAUUACAAGAAGCUCUUUGUCAUGGAUAUCAUAGAUAAACUUGAUUCCUGAAAAUUUCUCUAAAUGAAAAGCUUUCAAGUGGAGCAUGUCAUCUACUCCUAUAUGUGACAAAAUAACAUCCAUAGUAAAGUCUAAUGCAUCUAUUUUGAGGAAGAACACCUUCAAAAAAUUGAUGCAAUAUAAGAUUGAUGUAAAAAUAAAUGUUGUCUUCAAAGCUUCAAAAGAUGUUUUAAUUUCUUUAUUCCAUUUGAGUUUGUUUUUAUAUGUCAAGCAUGUAAGAAGAGCCAAAACUUGAAAAAAGUUCUUAAUGAAGAUUUGAUAAUAAUUGGAAAAUUUCAAAAAAAAUUAUACAUCUCUAAUUAUUUUGGAGAUCUUCUAAUUUAUGAUAGUUGGGACCUUCUUAGGAUCCAUCAUAAGACUAUUGUUUGAAAUGAUGCAUCUUAGGAAGUCAACUUGAGUAGUAUAAAAUAUACACUUUUAUAUUUUAGCAUAUAAUCUUACAUCUUUUAAUUUUUAUAAUAUAUAAUAAAUAUGAAUUUUAUAUUCUUUUGUGUUCUUAGAAUAGAUCAAAAUAUCAUGUAAAUUACAAAUUAUAAAACCAUCAAGAAAUUCAUGAAAGACAUCUUUUAUUAAAUAUUGAAAAGUAGCUGAUAUAUUUGCAAGGCUAAAAGGCAUGAUAUUAUACUUGAAAUGUCCAUAUCUGAUUUAAAAUACAAUUUUUUUAUUUGUCUCUUUUUUUAAUAGAUACAACAUUCUAUGCUCUUUAUAGAUUUAUUUUUGUAUAGAUCUUUGCUUGAUGGAGUUGAUCAAGAAGUCUUUAAAUCAAGGAUAGAGAGUAUCUAUUCUUGAUGGUGAUUUUUUUGAAUCUUCAAUAGUCUACAUAUAUCCAUAGAGAUUUGUCUUUUUUCUUUACAAAUAAAAUAGGAGCCCUAGCUAGAGAUUUAGAAUAGUGUAUGAAGUUCUUAGAUAAAUUUUCAUCAAUAUAUUUCUACAAUGCAGCCAAUUUGUUUUGUGAUAGGCUAUAGAUUGGUCCAAAUGGUGGUUGAGUUCUUUUUUGAUAAUUAAUGGAAUAAUGACAAAGAUAAUUUUCUGAAAAAAUAUUUGUAUUUUUUUUUCAAAGAUGUUUUGAUUAUAUUGGAUUAGCUUAGAAUACUACUUGAAUUUUUUCUAUUAAUAGUAGAUGUGGCAUAUAUAAAAAAAGUUGAUUUCUUUUUUAUACUAUAUAUGAAAGUUCUUGUACCUAUCAAUUAUAAUUUGGAUGUAUUAGUCUUAUGGGUUUUUACUUGCCAAGCAAAAUCUUGGACUAAAUUAUGUAAGAAAUCAAGAUUGUAAGGAAUCUAUUCUAUUUGAAGAUUAUAUUUUUUUAACCCCAAUAAUAUUAAAAUAAUUGAAUUAAAAAAAUAUCUAAUUACAUUAAAUAUUAUUAAACUAUUAGAACUACUAAUUAUUACCUCUACAUGAAUGGUUUUAUGUAUAAAAAUCACAUAAAACAUACAAAUUUGAUUUUUUUAACUAAGAAUAUAUCUUGUUUUUUUAACAAAGUCUUUGCCUAUAAAAACAAGCUAAGGAUCUUAAAUCCAACAAGGCUAAGAUUUUGUGAUUUUUUGGUCCUAAAUAAACUUCUAUUAUAAAAUAAAAUGAGGGAUCUAAAAAAAAAUAAGACCUUUAUUAGAAGUUAUAUAAGAUUCUAAGUGUACAAUCUCUAUUAUAGUUAGAGAGACUUGUUUUUUGAUACAUUAUCUUUUUUAGAAAUGAUGCUCUUUAUUUUGUAGCUAUGUUAUUUCUUUGGAUAAUUUUGAAGAAUGUACUUGCAUUCUUCAUAAUAUAGGUAUAACCUUCUUGAUGACAAUAAGUCUUUUCUUGUUCAAUAAGAGGUUUAAAAUAUACCAUAUCAAUUUACAUUGGUUCUGGCUUUGAUGAAUAAGUUUCAAAAAACUUAAGAAUUGCCGUCAUUACUUGACUUGUUCUUCUUCAACUAAAUCUUUGUUCUUGAUGCCUUUCAAAUAAACAAUUGUCACAUGCAAUAACUUAAGCAAUAAAUUUUUGCAAAGAUUUUACUUUUCAUAUUAUCAAUAAUAAAUCUUUAAUGUUGUCCUUCUAUCUAUAUCAAAAUUGAUUAAAAAGGGCUUUUUCAUUCCAAUGCACAUUACAAAUAAGGUUUUGAAUAUAUACAAAUUACCACAUUUAGUAGAUCAAUAUUGGAUUAAAAAUAGAAUUGUUUGCUCCAAUUGUAGAAUAUUUUACCUUAUAGAUCAUUGUAGAAGAUUCAAUUAAGUUAUUUCUUCAACUUCUUUUUCAAGAGAUUAUAAUAAACAAAUUAAAGGAAAUACGUAAGAAAUUAGAUUUUUGGAUCUUAUUAUUACAAAGAAUCCAUUAAAUAUAUAUUAUGACCUUUUAAAUAAUGGUCAAAAUCAUUAUCCUUCAAUGAUUGUUCAAAUCAAAUAAUCUAAGAAUCUUUAGCAUAUAACCAAAACCGUUUCCAAGUCUAAAAUCAAAACCAACAAUCAAAAAAAAUUUAAGAUAUUAAACAUAUGAUGGCUUAAUCUGAUGUAUCUUCUAUAUCAAAUUUACCACCUCUUCAAUUCAACUUGAUAUAAUUAGAUAGAAAAAAAAUCUCUUUAGAAAAUGCCUAUUUGUCUUCUUUGGUUAUAACCAAAAGUAUGAGUGUUGAAAGAUCAAUAGACUUAGCACAAUCUGAAAAAGAUGAAAUAUCAAUAAAUACUUCAAAAGAGUCACCUAAGUUUAUAGAAUUGUAAAAACUACUCAAAGAGUAGCUAAAGAAUUAAAAGACAAACAAGCUUUUUUUUAGUUGAAUGUAAUUUAGAAGAGUACCAAUUUGUAGACAAAGAAGGGCCUUGAAUUUUUAGUAUUUUUUUAAAAUAACAAAUAAUUAAUAGACCUUCAACCUUGUAGAAUCUUAUGAUUUAUGGUAAGUUUUUUGUAAACUUAGAGUCAAUAUUUCUUUUAGUCAAUUGAUUCAAGUAGCACCAACUAUGAAAAAGGAUCUCAAAGAAAGAGUAAUAUUACAAAAAAAAAAAAAAAAAAAAAAAAAAAACCAAGAAUAUAGAAAGAAUAGCUAAAGUUAAAAUUAAUGAUUUAGAAGGAAAUAUCACCUUAGAAGGACAGUUAAAAAUAUAGACGUGUUGAAAUAGAUGUAGAAAUAGUGGAUAUAAUAAUUCCUAAGGUCAUAAUAAAUGAUAGAAGUAGCAUCAAUAUUAUGCAUAACUCCCUCAUAAAUAAAUAAGUUUAAAAAUCACUAACAAGGAAAUUAUGAAAAUAAGCUUAGCUAAUCAAAGGUAUUUUUAAAUUUUACAUCAAAUUUGUGAUCUUUUUAUGUAAGCAAGAGGUGUAGUUUAUAUAGUAUUAUUUUAUAUGCUCCAUUUCUAUGAAGAAGUAAAUAGUUAUCUUCUUUAUUAAAAAGAUGAUGGUUGAGGUAAUUAAAAAGAGUAAUUAAUUGAGGAGCUAUUAAGUCUUACUUUACUUUUGGACUUAUUGAUAAUUAUACAAAAAUUAUAGUAAUUGAUUACUUUAGACUCCAACCUUUGGAAAGAACACCAACAACUAUAGAACCUAAUCAAAUUAGUUUUUUUCAAUAUACUACAACUCCAAAUAUUGCUCCAAUUAAAUAUAUUAGUCUUGGAUUAUAUAAAUAUGAAGAUGGAGGUGAUUUUUCUAAAUUAUUAGCAAAAACUUUCUAUGAGGAAGAAGACAUUCAUAUAUGAUUUGUAGAAUUUGAAACCUCAACUUUAUCCAUUGUCAUUGAUAAAAGAUUGUAUAAUUUUUAAUCUUUGAAACAAUAAUUAGAGCAUUUAAAAGGAUUUAGUAUGACUCAAAGAUUUGUAUCUUAAUACAUAAAAAUUAUUCACAUAAAAAAAUUAAAAAAAAAAAAAAAAACUUUUUUUUACUCUAAGGAUGUAAAUAAUGAUUUAAGAUGCUAAAAAACUAGAAUUUUUAGCCAUGUUUGAUAUAAUUUAGAUAAGACCUUGUAUUAUCAAAGAAGUCUUUGAUAAUAAUUUAAUUCAACUUAAGACAUUAAAUGGAGAAGACUUUCCAACAAGAAUUAAUAGAAGUCAUUGUAAAAAAUAUAAGAUAAAAAUAUUAGUUCCAACACCAAUUUACCUUGUCAUUUUUAUAAUAGUUUUAAGUCUAAUCUAUUGAUUGCUUAUAACCUUAAUAUAUUGUGAUACUAGGCUGAAGGCAUAGGUGGCAAGUAUUGUUAACUAUUUUUUUCUUUGAGUUGAGAUCAUUUCCUAUAUGGUUAUUAGGACUAGAUUAAGUUCUUAUGGAUUUAGAAUCAUUUAAUCUCUAAUUCAAAUCUAGAUAGAUUUUUAAGUACUAUCUAUAUUUAAUUAGUAACAAAGAAAAAAAAUAUUAUAUAUGGAGACAUGUUGAGUCCAAUAUAUAUAGUUGUUCUUAAUUUUUGUUCUUAGGUCAAAGUCUAAUUAUUUUUUUAUAUAUUUUUCUUUUUUAAUAGAUAAUAAUAUCUUUUUUAAUAAAUUAUUUUAUUUUUAUUUUUAUUUUUUAUAAACCUUGAUAAAAAUAAGAGUUGGAAUUUUUCUAUUCUCAAAAAUAUUGCUUAUUGAAAAAUCUAUAAAUAUUAUUUAGUAUUUAGAAGAAGUACAAAAAAGAACUUUAUGUCUUUUUAAUUCUUUAUGUUAAUAAUAUAAUUUUUAAUUGAUUUAAAUUAGUUUUAUUACUAUAAAAAUUUAAUAAAGUAGAAAUUUAUGUAUUUAAUUUUAUACUAAUAUUAUAAAAAUAUUAUAAAAGUUUUUAGAAUUUAUCUAGAAUUUAUUUAGGAUUUUUAAGGAAUUUUUAGAGAAAAUUUUAAGACUUUGAUAAAAUUGAGUUUUAUCACCUUAGAAGCUAUUAUAAAGAAGUAGAGUAAGAUUUGAAGGUUAUAAAAGUUUCUUAUGCUAAUUGAAUAUUUUUAGACACCAUGAAAAUUUUAAGAGAAGUUAAAAUUUAUUGAAGAUAUUUUAUUUUUAAUAUUUUAAAUGAUUUCUUUAUUAUUAUUAUUAUUAUUAUUAUUAUUAUUAUUAUUAUUAUUAUUAUUAUUUUUUGAAAUAUUUUUUUAAUUUUUUUAAAGAUUUAUUUAUAAUUUGUUUAUAUUUCUUUUAUAAUUUCUUUAAAGCUUUUUUUGGAUUUGAUUAAGGUUUGAUUAAGAUUAUUAAAGUUUAAUUAGAAUCUUUGACUAUAUCUUAGAACACAAUCAUAGUUUGCAACUUUUGUACAUAUUAUUUGAUUACAAACUAAGCUAAAGUGGACAAGCACUACUCUACCUUGAGCUACAUUUUUUUGUUUUACAAUGUGCCAUUAGUUGGUGUUUUACAUAGCAAAGUUUGACUAUCCUUUCUAAUAUGGAGGCAAAGUUUAUGGCCAUGGCCACCGCCACCUCCAAAAUAAUCUAGCUGCGCCAUCUUUGGAUGAUACAACCAAGUUCUACUAACAAACAAAAUACAUUGCUAUUUUUUAUCAUUUUAUUUGGCAACUUGCUACACAACAAAAAAAAAUCAAGGUUGAUAAACCAAAGUGUAAACAUAAAAUAAUAAUAAUAAUAAUUAUUAUUAUUAUUAUUCACAAACUAAACUUAUCUUUAUCUCAAACCUAAUUAAUAAGUUCCAAUAAAAAGAGCAGAGACAAUCUUGUCAAACUCACAGAUAAUCUCGUUCGAGAUACAUGCGUCUGUGGGUCCGAGAUUGAUUCCUCCUGUCCAAUGCUUGGCAACGCGGUGCUCUAAUCUCCUGCCAAGGUUUCGCGGACAAAUCCGAUCAGCUGGUCGAGUCCUUUUGACUUUUGUUAUGUCCAUUUUGACUUCAUCGAGAAUCUUGAUACCGAACCUCGAGUAUUCUGCCCCUUCGCUUGCUUUGACCAACUUCGGCACCUUUGAAUGUUACCUGCAUGUUGCUACAGCAGCUAAUGACUGCAUAUAAGGUAGGCGCAUGAUCGGCUCGACAGUCGGUGGAGAUCGAUGUAACCAUUCGUCCUGAUCGCGAACAAGUUUGAUAGCCGGGUCAAUUGGAGAGAAAGAUGACCAGCUUUGCUACAAGAUGCACAUGGGUGAUGAUGCUGGGAUUGUUACUGCUUGCUGCAGACAGCUUCGGCUCAGUUCAUGGUGAGCAAAACGCUCCGCCUGAAUAAGUGCACAGAAGGCGAAACUAAGCGUUUCCUUCGAGGUUUUACAGUCCAUCGUUUAAAAGUUUAAGGCGAUGAUGUGGAGAAGUGCAAGUUUGCGCGUUUCUAGAUGGCACUGAGCUUGUAGUUUAACCAAGGCACUUCCACUCUUCGCAGGACUCAGAACGCGUCAGUACCACAUUCACAAGCUUCAUGCAGACGACACGUUGCUGAGUAGCCUCGUGGUAACGGUGAG
rnacentral:lncRNA from 1 species